AGAGUUUGAUCAUGGCUCAGGACGAACGCUGGCGGCGUGCCUAAUGCAUGCAAGUCGCACGGGGUCUUCGGACCCAGUGGCGCACGGCUGAGGAGCACGUGGCUGACCUACCCCGGCGUGGGGGAUAACGGGCCGAAAGGCUCGCUAAUCCCGCAUACGAUCACUCUUCCGAGUGAGGAAAGCUUCGGCGCGCUGGGCGGGGGCCGCGUCCCAUUAGGUUGUUGGUGUGGUAAUGGCGCACCAAGCCGAUGAUGGGUUCCGGGUCUGAGAGGACGACCCGGCAGACUGGGACUGAGACACGGCCCAGACUCCUACGGGGGGCAGCAGCAAGGAAUUUUCGGCAAUGGGCGCAAGCCUGACCGAGCAACGCCGCGUGGAGGAUGACGGCUUUCGGGUUGUAAACUCCUUUUGGGUGGGACGAUAAUGACGGUACCACCCGAAUCAGACCCGGCUAACUACGUGCCAGCAGCCGCGGUAAUACGUAGGGGUCGAGCGUUGUCCGGACUUACUGGGCGUAAAGCGUGGGUAGGUGGUCGAUGAUGUGCCGUGUGAAAGCGCCGCGCUUCUCGCGGCGAGGUCGCGGUAGACACAUCGACUGGAGGCACGGAGGGGGGCGUAGAAUUCCCGGUGUAGUGGUGAAAUGCGUAGAUAUCGGGAGGAAUACCAGUGGCGCAAGCGGCGCCCUGGCCGUGACCUGACACUGAGCCACGACGGCGUGGGGAGCAAACGGGAUUAGAUACCCUAGUAGUCC
rnacentral:rRNA from 1 species